rnacentral:rRNA from 1 species
GGGCUUAUAUGUCCUCUUUGAAUAGAAGAGGUUACAAUGUUUGACUAAUUCGACCUCAAAUCAGGCAGGACUACCCGCUGAACUUAAGCAUAUCAAUAAGCGGAGGAAAAGAAACUAACAAGGAUUCCCCUAGUAACUGCGAGUGAAGCGGGAAAAGCUCAAAUUUGAAAUCUGGCGUGCCCUUUGGCCGUCCGAGUUGUAGUCUGGAGAAGCGUCUUCCGUGCUGGACCGUGUACAAGUCCCUUGGAACAGGGCGUCAUAGAGGGUGAGAAUCCCGUCUUUGACACGGACUACCAGCGCUUUGUGAUGCGCUCUCAACGAGUCGAGUUGUUUGGGAAUGCAGCUCAAAAUGGGUGGUAAAUUCCAUCUAAAGCUAAAUACAGGCGAGAGACCGAUAGCGAACAAGUACCGUGAGGGAAAGAUGAAAAGCACUUUGGAAAGAGAGUUAAACAGUACGUGAAAUUGCUGAAAGGGAAACGCUUGAAGUCAGUCGCGUCUGCCAGGACUCAGCCUUGCUUCUGCUCGGUGCACUUUUCUGGUUGGACGGGCCAGCAUCGAUUUUGAUCGUCAGAAAAAGUAGGAGAGAAUGUGGCACCUUUCGAGGUGUGUUAUAGCUUUCUAUCGCAUAUGACGGUCGGGAUCGAGGACUGCAGCAUGCCUUUUAUGGCUGGGGCUUUUUAGUCCACACCAUGUGCUUAGGAUGCUGGCUUAAUGGCUUUAAGCGACCCGUCUUGAAACACGGACCAAGGAGUCUAACAUGCCUGCGAGUGUUUGGGUGGAAAAACCCGAGCGCGUAAUGAAAGUGAUAGUUGAGACCUCUGUCGCGGAGGGCAUCGACGCCUGGACUUGAUCUACGGAGACGGUUCCACGGUAGAGCAUGUAUGUUGGGACCCGAAAGAUGGUGAACUAUGCCUGAAUAGGGUGAAGCCAGAGGAAACUCUGGUGGAAGCUCGUAGCGAUUCUGACGUGCAAAUCGAUCGUCAAAUUUGGGUAUAGGGGCGAAAGACUAAUCGAACCAUCUAGUAGCUGGUUCCUGCCGAAGUUUCCCUCAGGAUAGCAGAAACUCGUAUCAGAUUUAUGUGGUAAAGCGAAUGAUUAGAGGCCUUGGGGUUGAAACAACCUUAACCUAUUCUCAAACUUUAAAUAUGUAAGAACGAGCCGUCACUUGAUUGGACCGCUCGGUGAUUGAGAGUUUCUAGUGGGCCAUUUUUGGUAAGCAGAACUGGCGAUGCGGGAUGAACCGAACGUGAGGUUAAGGUGCCGGAAUACACGCUCAUCAGACACCACAAAAGGUGUUAGUUCAUCUAGACAGCAGGACGGUGGCCAUGGAAGUCGGAACCCGCUAAGGAGUGUUCACAAACUCACCUGCCGAAUGAACUAGCCCUGAAAAUGGAUGGCGCUCAAGCGUGUUACCCAUACCUCACCGUCGGCGUUGAAGUGAUACACCGACGAGUAGGCAGGCGUGGAGGUCCGUGAAGAAGCCUAGGCAGCGAUGCUGGGUGAAACGGCCUCUAGUGC